UCUGGUGAUGAUGGCAGAGAGGUCACACCCGUUCCCAUACCGAACACGGAAGUUAAGCUCUCUAGCGCCGAUGGUAGUUGGGACCUUGUCCCUGUGAGAGUAGGACGUUGCCAGGC
rnacentral:rRNA from 1 species